ensembl:snoRNA SNORD83 Small nucleolar RNA SNORD83
GCCAGAUGAUGUUCGUUGGCUGCAGGAGCACUUGGUGCGAGGACGACUGUUUAUCUAUCACCCAUGCCUGAUGGCU